rnacentral:rRNA from 1 species
CAGUCGCCGCGGUAAUACAGAGGGUGCGAGCGUUAAUCGGAUUUACUGGGCGUAAAGCGUGCGUAGGCGGCUUCUUAAGUCGGAUGUGAAAUCCCUGAGCUUAACUUAGGAAUUGCAUUCGAUACUGGGAAGCUAGAGUAUGGGAGAGGAUGGUAGAAUUCCAGGUGUAGCGGUGAAAUGCGUAGAGAUCUGGAGGAAUACCGAUGGCUAAGGCAGCCAUCUGGCCUAAUACUGACGCUGAGGUACGAAAGCAUGGGGAGCAAACAGGAUUAGAUACCCCUGUAGUCCCUGUCUCUUAUAC